rnacentral:rRNA from 1 species
UACGGGGGGGGCAAGCGUUGUUCGGAAUUACUGGGCGUAAAGGGCUCGUAGGCGGCCAACUAAGCCAGACGUGAAAUCCCUCGGCUUAACCGGGGAACUGCGUCUGAUACUGGAUGGCUUGAGUUUGGGAGAGGGAUGCGGAAUUCCAGGUGUAGCGGUGAGAUGCGUAGAUAUCUGGAGGAACACCGGUGGCGAAGGCGGCAUCCUGGACCAACACUGACGCUGAGUGAGCGAAAGCCAGGGGAGCAAACGGG